GUGUCAGCAGCCGCGGUAAUACGGAGGGUGCAAGCGUUAUCCGGAUUUACUGGGUUUAAAGGGUGUGUAGGCGGACUUUUAAGUCAGCGGUGAAAUCUCCGGGCUCAACCCGGAAACUGCCAUUGAUACUAUUGGUCUUGAAUGUUGUUGAGGUGGGCGGAACGGGUCAUGUAGCGGUGAAAUGCAUAGAUAUGACCCGGAACACCGAUUGCGUAGGCAGCCCACUAAGCAACGAUUGACGCUGAGGCACGAAAGCGUGGGGAUCAAACAGGAUUAGAUACCCCCGUAGUCC
rnacentral:rRNA from 1 species